GACGAACCGUCCUAACGUUGUUCGGAAUCACUGGGCUUAAAGGGCGCGUAGGCGGGUUCCCCAGUCGGUGGUGAAAUCUUUCGGCCCAACCGGAAAACAGCCGCCGAUACUGGGAGUCUUGAGGGAGGUAGGGGUCGAUGGAACUUCCGGUGGAGCGGUGAAAUGCGUAGAUAUCGGAAGGAACGCCGGUGGCGAAAGCGAUCGACUGGACCUUUUCUGACGCUGAGGCGCGAAAGCCAGGGGAGCAGACGGG
rnacentral:rRNA from 1 species